rnacentral:rRNA from 1 species
GAUGAACGCUGGCGGCGUGCCUAAUACAUGCAAGUCGAGCGAACAGACGAGGAGCUUGCUCCUCUGACGUUAGCGGCGGACGGGUGAGUAACACGUGGAUAACCUACCUAUAAGACUAGGAUAACUUCGGGAAACCGGAGCUAAUACCGGAUAAUAUAUUGAACCGCAUGGUUCAAUAGUGAAAGACGGUUUUGCUGUUACUUAUAGAUGGAUCCGCGCCGCAUUAGCUAGUUGGUAAGGUAACGGCUUACCAAGGCAACGAGGCGUAGCCGACCUGAGAGGGUGAUCGGCCACACUGGAACUGAGACACGGUCCAGACUCCUACGGGAGGCAGCAGUAGGGAAUCUUCCGCAAUGGGCGAAAGCUUGACGGAGCAACGCCGCGUGAGUGAUGAAGGUCUUCGGAUCGUAAAACUCUGUUAUUAGGGAAGAACAAAUGUGUAAGUAACUAUGCACGUCUUGACGGUACCUAAUCAGAAAGCCACGGCUAACUACGUG